rnacentral:rRNA from 1 species
CUCAAAAAUAAGCCAUGCAUGUCUCAGUAUAAGCUUCUAUACGGCGAAACUGCGAAUGGCUCAUUAAAACAGUUGUAGUUUAUUUGAUGGUCAUUCAUUACAUGGAUAACUGUGGUAAUUCUAGAGCUAAUACAUGCGCCCAAACCCGACUUCGUGGAAGGGUUGUGUUUAUUAGAUACAGAACCAACCCAGGUUCGCCCUGGUAUUGUGGUGAUUCAUAGUAACCGAACGAAUCGCAUAGCUUCCGCUGGCGAUAAAUCAUUCAAGNUUUCUGACCUAUCAGCUUCCGACGGUAGGGGUAUUGGCCCUACCGUGGCAUGACGGUAACGGAAAUU